rnacentral:rRNA from 1 species
AGUGAACGCUGGCGGUAGGCCUAACACAUGCAAGUCGAACGGCAGCACAGUAAGAGCUUGCUCUUACGGGUGGCGAGUGGCGGACGGGUGAGGAAUACAUCGGAAUCUACUUUUUCGUGGGGGAUAACGUAGGGAAACUUACGCUAAUACCGCAUACGACCUACGGGUGAAAGCAGGGGAUCUUCGGACCUUGCGCGAUUGAAUGAGCCGAUGUCGGAUUAGCUAGUUGGCGGGGUAAGGCCCACCAAGGCGACGAUCCGUAGCUGGUCUAAGAGGAUGAUCAGCCACACUGGAACUGAGACACGGUCCAGACUCCUACGGGAGGCAGCAGUGGGGAAUAUUGGACAAUGGGCGCAAGCCUGAUCCAGCCAUACCGCGUGGGUGAAGAAGGCCUUCGGGUUGUAAAGCCCUUUUGUUGGGAAAGAAAAGCAGCAGGUUAAUACCCCGCUGUUCUGACGGUACCCAAAGAAUAAGCACCGGCUAACUUCGUG